GGGCCCGUAAAGGUUUCGACGGGGAAUAUGAAACAGGGUAAGCGAGCGGAGCCGCACAAGCUCCCAAAAACUGUGCAACCUAAAAUUAAACGCUAACAAUAAUAAAUUAGCUCUCGCUGCCUAAGGGCGCGGGUGUCCUGCCGAUGAGUAUCGCGGCUUCGGUUUGGGCAUAACACAGCGAUGAACGUGAACGGCUUUUUAGUUUUUGACGCCGUCACGCAUUAAAAAGCUACCGAAACACAGAGCCUGUCUGCCGGCGCUGUGAGGAGGGAAUUUCAAAAGACGGAAUGCGCUCGGAGAAAGCCCCGCGGAUCGUUUUUCGGACAGGAGUUCGAUUCUCCUCGGGUCCACCA
rnacentral:tmRNA from 1 species